CAGCAGCCGCGGGAAUACGGAGGGUGCAAGCGUUAUCCGGAUUUAUUGGGUUUAAAGGGUACGUAGGCGGAUCUGUAAGUCAGUGGUGAAAUCUCACAGCUUAACUGUGAAACUGCCAUUGAUACUGCAGGUCUUGAGUAAAUUUGAAGUGGCUGGAAUAAGUAGUGUAGCGGUGAAAUGCAUAGAUAUUACUUAGAACACCAAUUGCGAAGGCAGGUCACUAAGAUUUAACUGACGCUGAUGGACGAAAGCGUGGGGAGCGAACAGGAUUAGAUACCCCUGUAGUCCCUGUCUCUUAUAC
rnacentral:rRNA from 1 species